rnacentral:rRNA from 1 species
UACGAAGGGUGCAAGCGUUAAUCGGAAUUACUGGGCGUAAAGCGUGCGUAGGCGGUUUGUUAAGUCUGGUGUGAAAUCCCCGGGCUCAACCUGGGAAUGGCAAUGGAUACUGGCAAGCUAGAGUGUGAUAGAGGAUGGUGGAAUUCCCGGUGUAGCGGUGAAAUGCGUAGAGAUCGGGAGGAACAUCAGUUGCUAAGGCGACCACCUGGAUCAACACUGACGCUGAGGCACGAAAGCGUGGGGAGCAAACGGG